AACGUACAGGUUUCCGUAGGUGACCUGCGGAAGGAUCAUUAAUGAAUACAGAUGCCUGUCGAGCUUGCUCACGGGCUUUCUAUCAUAUCCAUAACACCUGUGCACUUGUUGGAUGUUCUAGAGACGUAGGGUUAAACCUGAAGUCAAUAGUCAUCCACUUACACUAAACAAUAAUGUAACAAAUGUAGUCUUAUUAUAACAAAAUAAAACUUUCAACAACGGAUCUCUUGGCUCUCGCAUCGAUGAAGAACGCAGCGAAAUGCGAUAAGUAAUGUGAAUUGCAGAAUUCAGUGAAUCAUCGAAUCUUUGAACGCACCUUGCGCUCCUUGGUAUUCCGAGGAGCAUGCCUGUUUGAGUGUCAUGAAAACCCUCAACCUUAGAUUGGUUAUUUGACCUUUCUUUGGCUUGGAUUUGGACGUUUGCCGAUGUCAAGUCGGCUCGUCUUAAAAGUAAUAGCUGGAUCUGUCUCGCGACAUGGUUUGACUUGGCGUAAUAAGUAUUUCGCUAAGGACAUCUUCGGAUGGCCCUGUUGCAGGACUAAAGACCGCUUUCUAAUCCAUUGAUCUUCGGAUUAAUAUUCAUAACAUCUGGCCUCAAAUCAGGUAGGACUACCCGCUGAACUUAAGCAUAUCAAUAAGCGGAGGAAAAGAAACUAACAAGGAU
rnacentral:rRNA from 1 species